GUAGUGUCUGCCUUUCUGGCACUUCCUUCCUCUGCUGAAUCAUCUCAGCACUGCCAGGGAAACAAUUUGAACCCUUUUGCCUUCUGAGUCUGCCUUGACUGCCUGAAUGAGACAUGGCUGGGGACUUUAAAACCACUGCAGUUACUGAGUCCACCACCCCUGCAAGUGAGACACAAGGCCAAAAGAACAUCGAGUUUAGGAUUCUGCUGUGUUUUGUUUUUAUUGCUUCAUAAUACUAAAGUUCCAUCUCAGAGAUGAAACAUUGUAUAAAGAGACCUAGGUUUGCUUUCACUGAUGAGACAACUGAAACACAG
rnacentral:lncRNA from 1 species